CGGGACCGGGACCCGGGUGACAGGUCGGCCGGGCGGCCGGCCCGGGCGCCCGGCGGGGGAUGGACGCGGUUCGUGACCGCGCGGCCCCGGC
rnacentral:tRNA from 1 species